CUGUAAAGUCAGGCUGCUUGCCUUGGCUCUUUUAAAAGGCAGAGCCACAGAGAAGGCGGUGCUCUGGGAGGAACCAAGGAGAAACCAAUGAGCAGCCCCUAUUAGGCCUAGGUCAAGUGUGCUGGUCCAGAACGCAGCCUGCAAGCACCAGGUAUGAAGGGUCUGGGGUGGGAGAAGGCUGGUCCCCGCUGACGCCCAGCCCUUCCAGGUUAUGGUCCCUGCGAUGCUCACCGGCUACAUGUCCCUGAGAGGAGUCUCUGCGUGGUUGCUGAGCCGCAAGCUCGGCCUGCGCUUCUCGCGCGUUCCACGUACGUGGAGCUCGGCGGCCGCGCACACGGGUCAGUGCAGGGCUCCGGAUGGGUGGGCAGGGAGACACAGGAAACUUUCUAAGUGUGACUUUCUCAUCCUUUGUUUGCAGAGAAGACACAGAUCCGAUCGGUCAAAUGUAAGGAUCACCUACCCACCUACUCCCGGUCCAGCUGUUUCUUUGACCCAUAGUAGUCUGUGAAUGCAAGGACUUCUGGGAAGGGAGGCUGGGCUGUGCUCAGGGUCAGAAGUCUAAAGUAGUGGGUGUUUGUUUCUACUGGACUGGAGAGGAGUUGCGUUUGUUAGACUGUUUUGAAGCCAGAAUCCGCCUGGAGCGAGAUGGGGGGAAUUGGGUGCAGCUUAGAAAUGUUGAAGAGGAGGCAGGGAUCUGGCUGACUUGACCCUCAUACCCUACCAGCCUCUCGUCCUGUGUUUGACUGGAAGGACCCACUGGUCCUGGAGGAGCAGUUGACUGCCGAUGAGAAACUCAUCAGGGACACCUUCCGUAACUACUGCCAGGAACGACUUAUGUCUCGAAUUCUGCUGGCCAAUCGAAAUGAAGGUGCCUUGAUGGAAGGGUGGGCACUCUGAGUUCCACAACCAUACAUGAUUUGCACUCGCUGCAGUCCCUGGAGUCAGGGACUCUAUCAAAGGGCAUAAUUCUGACACCCAUCUCUGCAGUUUUUCACAGGGACAUUGUAUAUGAGAUGGGGGAGCUGGGUGUGCUGGGAC
rnacentral:lncRNA from 1 species